UUAUGGUUAAGCUACUAAGGGCUGACGGCGGAUGCCUUGGCACUGGGAGGCGAUGAAGGACGCGGAAAGCUGCGAUAAGCUUCGGUGAGCUGCUAACAGGCUUUGACCCGGAGAUUUCCGAAUGGGGAAACCCGGCAGAGGUAAUGCUCUGUCAUCGUUCAGUGAAUACAUAGCUGAACGAGGCGAACGGGGGGAAGUGAAACAUCUCAGUACCCCCAGGAACAGAAAUCAAACGAGAUUCCGUGAGUAGCGGCGAGCGAAAGCGGAAGAGCCCAAACCGAUUAAUUUAUUAAUCGGGGUUGUAGGACCCCGACAGGGGAUCGGUGAGAAAUAGCGGAAAGGUCUGGAAAGGCCUGCCAUAGACGGUGACAGUCCGGUACGCGAAAUUUUGAUCCGCCCCAGGGAGUUCCUGAGUACCACGAGACACGUGAAACCUUGUGGGAAUCCGGGAGGACCAUCUUCCAAGGCUAAAUACUACCCAGUGACCGAUAGUGAACAAGUACCGUGAGGGAAAGGUGAAAAGAACCCCGGGAGGGGAGUGAAAUAGAAACUGAAACCGUCAGCUUACAAGCAGUUGAAGCAUCGAUUUAUCGGUGUGACAGCGUGCCUUUUGCAUAAUGAGUCAACGACUUACCCUGUGUGGCAAGGUUAAGCCGAUAGGUGUAGCCGCAGCGAAAGCGAGUCUUAAUCAGGCGAUGAGUCACACGGGGUAGACCCGAAGCCGGGUGAUCUAUCCAUGUCCAGGGUGAAGUUUCGGUAACACGAAAUGGAGGCCCGAACCGAUAUAGGUUGAAAACUGUUCGGAUGAGGUGUGGAUAGGAGUGAAAGGCUAAUCAAACUCGGUGAUAGCUGGUUUUCUCCGAAAUAUAUUUAGGUAUAGCCUCAUAUGAUGACCAACGGAGGUAGAGCACUGACAAGGCUAGGGGUCCCACCGGAUUACCAACCCUUAUCAAACUCCGAAUGCCGUUGAGUUCCAGUAUGGGAGUCAGACUGCGGGAGAUAAGUUCCGCAGUCGAGAGGGAAAGAGCCCAGACCGCCGAUUAAGGUCCCUAAAUUUGCACUAAGUGGGAAAGGAGGUGGAAUUGCACAGACAACCAGGAGGUUGGCUUAGAAGCAGCAACCCUUUAAAGAAAGCGUAAUAGCUCACUGGUCUAGUGAAUCCGCGCCGAAAAUGUAACGGGGCUUAAGUGCAGUACCGAAAUCGCGGAAUGAAAUUUAUUUCAUUGGUAGGAGAACAUUGUGUAGGCCCGAGAAGGUGUAUCGCGAGGUAUGCUGGAGGUAUCACAAGAGCUUAUGUUGACACGAGUAGCGAUAAAGGGAGUGAAAAACUCCCUCGCCGUAAGUCCAAGGUUUCCUCAGGUCAAGUUAAUCUUCCGAGGGUUAGUCGGCCCCUAAGGCGAGGCUGAAAAGCGUAGUCGAUGGGAAACAGGUUAAUAUUCCUGUACCGCCGGUAUGGAGUUACUGUAUAAGGGGGGACGGAGAAGGAUAGACUGGCCGUCUGUUGGAAUAGGCGGUUUAAGCAUGUAGGCUUGAGACUUUGGCAAAUCCGGGUUUCUUUAAGGCUGAGAUGUGAUGACGAGUCCCGUAAGGGACAUAAAGCAGUUGAUUCCAUGCUUCCCGGAAAAUCCUCGUAUACAUUCAUAUUGGUGACCGUACCGCAAACCAACACAGGU
rnacentral:rRNA from 1 species